GAUGAACGCUAGCUACAGGCUUAACACAUGCAAGUCGAGGGGUAACGAGAGGAAAGCUUGCUUUCCUUGUCGACGACCGGCGCACGGGUGAGUAACGCGUAUCCAACCUGCCCCCAACUAAGGAAUAACCUUGCGAAAGUAAGACUAAUACCUUAUAAUUUCCUCAGAUGUCAUCUGACGAGGAAUAAAGAUUUAUCGGUUGUGGAUGGGGAUGCGUCUGAUUAGCUUGUUGGCGGGGUAACGGCCCACCAAGGCAACGAUCAGUAGGGGUUCUGGGAGGAAGGGCCCCCAAAUUGGAACUGAGACACGGUCCAAAGUCCUACGGGAGGCAGCAGUGAGGAAUAUUGGUCAAUGGGCGAAAGCCUGAACCAGCCAAGUAGCGUGCAGGAUGACGGCCCUAUGGGUUGUAAACUGCUUUUAUACAGGAAUAAAGUUAGCCACGUGUGGUUAUUUGUAGGUACUGUAUGAAUAAGGACCGGCUAAUUCCGUGCCAGCCGCCGCCGUAA
rnacentral:rRNA from 1 species